UACAGAGGUGGCAAGCGUUGUUCGGAAUUACUGGGCGUAAAGGGCGCGUAGGCGGUCUUUUAAGUUCCGUGUGAAACCCCUCGGCUCAACUGGGGAACGGCACGGGAAACUGGGAGGCUUGAGUUCGGGAGAGGGAAGCGGAAUUCCGGGUGUAGCGGUGAAAUGCGUAGAUAUCCGGAGGAACACCGGUGGCGAAGGCGGCUUCCUGGACCGACACUGACGCUGAGGCGCGAAAGCUAGGGGAGCAAACGGG
rnacentral:rRNA from 1 species